rnacentral:rRNA from 1 species
CCUACGGGAGGCAGCAGUAGGGAAUCUUCCGCAAUGGACGAAAGUCUGACGGAGCAACGCCGCGUGAGUGAAGAAGGUUUUCGGAUCGUAAAACUCUGUUGUUAGGGAAGAACAAGUACGAGAGUAACUGCUCGUACCUUGACGGUACCUAACCAGAAAGCCACGGCUAACUACGUGCCAGCAGCCGCGGUAAUACGUAGGUGGCAAGCGUUGUCCGGAAUUAUUGGGCGUAAAGCGCGCGCAGGCGGUCUUUUAAGUCUGAUGUGAAAGCCCCCGGCUCAACCGGGGAGGGUCAUUGGAAACUGGAGGACUUGAGUGCAGAAGAGGAGAGCGGAAUUCCACGUGUAGCGGUGAAAUGCGUAGAGAUGUGGAGGAACACCAGUGGCGAAGGCGGCUCUCUGGUCUGUAACUGACGCUGAGGCGCGAAAGCGUGGGGAGCGGAACAGGAUUAGAUACCCUGGUAGUCCACGCCGUAAACGAUGAGUGCUAAGUGUUAGAGGGUUUCCGCCCUUUAGUGCUGCAGCUACGCAUAAGCACUCCGCCGUCGGGAGGUACGGUCGCGAGACGAGAACGUACAAUAGAAGUUAGUACGGCGUGAGACGUAGCCGACGGACGACGACGAGGGAGGAGGG